AUGUGCAUUUUGAGUGUGGCCUUCCCUUCAGUUGCACAGUACCGGGCUGCCUUUAUAAUGGCCUUCCCUUCAAUUCAAAUUAGACUAGAAGGUAGCACUCAAGUCAUUUUGGGAAGUGGUACACCAUUUUGGAAGUCCGUGAAGAACCAACACAAGGUUGAACCCAAGAUGACAUUCUGUAUUCGUUCAUUCAAUAAGGCAAAUUGCAAGUACUCUAUUUGGAAAGAUGAUUGGGAUGAAAUUGUUGCAGCUCAAACAGAGACAUCUAAAAGAGAGUUUAAAUACAGAUUUGAAUGGAGGUUGGAAGAGAUAAUGCAAUGGAUGAUACGUGGAAAGCAAAUCUGA